rnacentral:rRNA from 1 species
AACGAACGCUGGCGGCAUGCCUAACACAUGCAAGUCGAACGAGACCUUCGGGUCUAGUGGCGCACGGGUGCGUAACGCGUGGGAACCUGCCUUUAGGUUCGGAAUAACUCAGAGAAAUUUGAGCUAAUACCGGAUGAUGUCUUCGGACCAAAGAUUUAUCGCCUUUAGAUGGGCCCGCGUUGGAUUAGCUAGUUGGUGGGGUAAAGGCCUACCAAGGCGACGAUCCAUAGCUGGUCUGAGAGGAUGAUCAGCCACACUGGGACUGAGACACGGCCCAGACUCCUACGGGAGGCAGCAGUGGGGAAUAUUGGGCAAUGGGCGAAAGCCUGAUCCAGCAAUGCCGCGUGAGUGAUGAAGGCCUUAGGGUUGUAAAGCUCUUUUACCCGAGAUGAUAAUGACAGUAGCGGGAGAAUAAGCUCCGGCUAACUCCGUG